AACGAGACCUUAACCUGCUAAAUAGUCCGGCCGGCUUUUGCUGGUCGCAGACUUCUUAGAGGGACUGUCAGCGUCUAGCUGACGGAAGUUUGAGGCAAUAACAGGUCUGUGAUGCCCUUAG
rnacentral:rRNA from 1 species